rnacentral:rRNA from 1 species
GACGAACGCUGGCGGCGUGCUUAACACAUGCCAGUCGAACGGAAAGGCCCUGCUUUUGUGGGGUUCUCGAGUGGCGAACGGGUGAGUAACACGUGAGUAACCUGCCCUUGACUUUGGGAUAACUUCAGGAAACUGGGGCUAAUACCGGAUAGGAGCUCCUGCUGCAUGGUGGGGGUUGGAAAGUUUCGGCGGUUGGGGAUGGACUCGCGGCUUAUCAGCUUGUUGGUGGGGUAGUGGCUUACCAAGGCUUUGACGGGUAGCCGGCCUGAGAGGGUGACCGGCGACAUUGGGACUGAGAUAGGGCCCAGACUGCUACGGGAGGCAGCAGUGGGGAAUAUUGCACAAUGGGCGGAAGCCUGAUGCAGCAACGCCGCGUGCGGGAUGACGGCCUUCGGGUUGUAAACCGCUUUCGCCUGUGACGAAGCGUGAGUGACGGUAAUGGGUAAAGAAGCACCGGCUAACUACGUG